rnacentral:rRNA from 1 species
ACGUAGGUGGCAAGCGUUGUCCGGAAUUAUUGGGCGUAAAGCGCGCGCAGGCGGCCUAUCCAGUCUGUCUUAAAAGUUCGGGGCUCAACCCCGUGAUGGGAUGGAAACUAGUAGGCUAGAGUAUCGGAGAGGAAAGCGGAAUUCCUAGUGUAGCGGUGAAAUGCGUAGAUAUUAGGAAGAACACCAGUGGCGAAGGCGGCUUUCUGGACGAAAACUGACGCUGAGGCGCGAAAGCCAGGGGAGCGAACGGG